rnacentral:misc_RNA from 1 species
AUCGAGAGGAUGCAGACGUUUUUU